rnacentral:rRNA from 1 species
CCUACGGGGUGCAGCAGUGAGGAAUAUUGGUCAAUGGGCGUAAGCCUGAACCAGCCAAGUCGCGUGAGGGAUGAAGGUUCUAUGGAUCGUAAACCUCUUUUAUAAGGGAAUAAAGUGUGGGACGUGUCCUGUUUUGUAUGUACCUUAUGAAUAAGGAUCGGCUAACUCCGUGCCAGCAGCCGCGGUAAUACGGAGGAUCCGAGCGUUAUCCGGAUUUAUUGGGUUUAAAGGGUGCGUAGGCGGCCUUUUACGUCAGCGGUGAAAGUCUGUGGCUCAACCAUAGAAUUGCCGUUGAAACUGGGAGGCUUGAGGAUGUUUGAGGCAGGCGGAAUGCGUGGUGUAGCGGUGAAAUGCUUAGAUAUCACGCAGAACCCCGAUUGCGAAGGCAGCCUGCCAAGCCAUGACUGACGCUGAUGCACGAAAGCGUGGGGAUCAAACAGGAUUAGAUACCCGGGUAGUC